UUGUUUAUUAUUUAUUGAUCUUGGAAAGGUUGUCUUAUGCCAUCAUCUUUUCUGUUUUAUAUUAUCUUCAGAUAUUCAUUGUGUUAACUGUAUGUUUUUUGGAACAUGUGAUCAAGUUCAGUUUUCUAAUCAUCCAACUUCUUUUGUCAUUCCAAAAUUUGAUCUAUUUCGUAAUUAAUAUGUUUUAAGUUAUUAGCUACAAAAUGGUUUAAAUGUGCAUUAUUUCCUGUACUGCAGCUUUUGUAUUUUGAUUAAACCCUUGUCUUUUACUUUUAAUGAGUUUACUUCAGUUGUUUAUAGAUGGGGCUAUACUUUUGCAUUAGCAUUUUUAUCUACCUUCUAUUUCUGGAUAUUGCCUAACAAUUAUUCUGUUAAACUAAAGCUUGUAGCCCUUAUUCAUACUUAUUGUUGCAGGGUGGCAACAACGAGGGAGAGGAAUUUAACACUGGGCCACUUUCUGUUUUGACGACGAGUGUUAAAAUAACACACAGGUAAGAUACAGUAGUAGUAACCUAGAAUAGGAACAAAAAGUUAAGUAAAUUUCCUGAUGUGGUGAGAAGAAGCGUUUUAAAUUUUUAAGAGUGCUCAAAAGAAACAAUAGGGCAGUUUGCUGUUGGAAACACCAAACCAGUUAUCUGGGAUGGUCCAAUUGGAUUGAAUCUUUUAAGAACUUGUGGCAUUGUACAUGUUGGACCAACACAUGUUUCAAUUUUCAAAACUUCCAAAGAGCCCUUGUGCUUAAUCUGCUUUUGGGCCAUGGAACUCCUUGUACUGACUUGGGAAAUCUCUUCUUGGCCGUGUGAGGGCAUUUGAUCGACACUGCAACAUGGUUUUUGAAAAUGUUAGGGAGAUGUGGACUGAGUUACCAAAAAACAGAAAAGGGUAGAAGCAAGCUCUUCCAGUCAACAAAGAUAGAUUCAUCAGUAUGUUGUACCGCCGAGGGGACUCUGGUAUCAUUGUCCUUAGGAAUCUAAAGUGAUAUAGCUAGUUCCUUGUGAUCCUUAAUACUUGAA